GAUGAACGCUGGCGGCGUGCCUAAUACAUGCAAGUCGAGCGAACAGACGAGGAGCUUGCUCCUUCGACGUUAGCGGCGGACGGGUGAGUAACACGUAGGUAACCUACCUAUAAGACUGGGAUAACUUCGGGAAACCGGAGCUAAUACCGGAUAAUAUUUCGAACCGCAUGGUUCGAUAGUGAAAGAUGGCUUUGCUAUCACUUCUAGAUAGACCUGCGCCGUAUUAGCUAGUUGGUAAGGUAACGGCUUACCAAGGCAACGAUACGUAGCCGACCUGAGAGGGUGAUCGGCCACACUGGAACUGAGACACGGUCCAGACUCCUACGGGAGGCAGCAGUAGGGAAUCUUCCGCGAUGGGCGAAAGCCUGACGGAGCAACGCCGCGUGAGUGAUGAAGGUCUUCGGAUCGUAAAACUCUGUUAUUAGGGAAGAACAAACGUGUAAGUAACUGUGCACGUCUUGACGGUACCUAAUCAGAAAGCCACGGCUAACUACGUG
rnacentral:rRNA from 1 species